GUCCAGACUCCUACGGGAGGCAGCAGUGGGGGAUAUUGCACAAUGGGGGGAACCCUGAUGCAGCGACGCCGCGUGGGUGAAGAAGUCAUUCGUGACGUAAAGCCCUAUCAGCAGGGAAGAAAAUGACGGUACCUGACUAAGAAGCCCCGGCUAACUACGUGCCAGCAGCCGCGGUAAUACGUAGGGGGCAAGCGUUAUCCGGAUUUACUGGGUGUAAAGGGAGCGUAGACGGUGAAGCAAGUCUGAAGUGAAAGGCGGGGGCUCAACCCCCGGACUGCUUUGGAAACUGUUUGACUGGAGUGCAGGAGAGGUAAGUGGAAUUCCUAGUGUAGCGGUGAAAUGCGUAGAUAUUAGGAGGAACACCAGUGGCGGAGGCGGCUUACUGGACGGUAACUGACGCUGAGGCUCGAAAGCGUGGGGAGCAAACAGGAUUAGAUACCCCCGUAU
rnacentral:rRNA from 1 species